GACGAACGCUGGCGGCGCGCUUAAUACAUGCAAGUCGAGCGAGAACCGGAGCUUCGGCUCCGGGGACAGCGGCGAACGGGUGAGUAACACGUGGUAACCUGCCCUCGGCACCGGGAUAGCCCGGGGAAACCCGGAUUAAUACCGGAUGGCCCUUUCGGUCUUCGGACCGGUCGGCAAAGGUAGCUUCGGCCUCCGGCCGAGGAUGGGCCCGCGGCGGAUUAGCUCGUUGGUGAGGUAACGGCUCACCAAGGCUCCGAUCCGUAGCUGGUCUGAGAGGACGAUCAGCCACACUGGGACUGAGACACGGCCCAGACUCCUACGGGAGGCAGCAGUAGGGAAUCUUGCGCAAUGGGCGAAAGCCUGACGCAGCGACGCGGCGUGCGGGAAGACGGCCUUCGGGUUGUAAACCGCUUUCAGGAGGGACGAAGCCACUCGGGUGAAUAGCCCAGAGGGUGACGGUACCUCCAGAAGAAGCCCCGGCUAACUACGUGCCAGCAGCCGCCGUAA
rnacentral:rRNA from 1 species